rnacentral:rRNA from 1 species
GACGAACCGUGCGAACGUUAUUCGGAAUCACUGGGCUUAAAGCGCGUGUAGGCGGGCCAGCACGUCGGAUGUUGAAAUCCCCCGGCUCAACCGGGGAACGGGCACCGAUACGACUGGCCUGGAGGGGAGUAGGGGGACCUGGAACUUCCGGUGGAGCGGUGAAAUGCGUAGAUAUCGGGAGGAACACCAGUGGCGAAGGCGACUUCCUGGCCUGUUCUUGACGCUGAGGCGCGAAAGCUAGGGGAGCAAACGGG